rnacentral:rRNA from 1 species
UCAAUAAGCGGAGGAAAAGAAACCAACAGGGAUUGCCCUAGUAACGGCGAGUGAAGCGGCAACAGCUCAAAUUUGAAAUCUGGCGCAAGCCCGAGUUGUAAUUUGUAGAGGAUGCUUCUGGGCAGCGGCCGGUCUAAGUUCCUUGGAACAGGACGUCACAGAGGGUGAGAAUCCCGUAUGUGACCGGCGCGCACCCUCCACGUAGCUCCUUCGACGAGUCGAGUUGUUUGGGAAUGCAGCUCUAAAUGGGAGGUAAAUUUCUUCUAAAGCUAAAUACCGGCCAGAGACCGAUAGCGCACAAGUAGAGUGAUCGAAAGAUGAAAAGCACUUUGGAAAGAGAGUUAAAAAGCACGUGAAAUUGUUGAAAGGGAAGCGCUUGCAACCAGACUCCGCGGCGGUGUUCCGCCGGUCUUCUGACCGGUCCACUCGCCGCCGCGGGGCCAACAUCGUCUGGGGCCGCCGGACAAGACUGGAGGAAUGUAGCUCCCUCGGGAGUGUUAUAGCCUUCAGUGAUGCGGCGCGUCCCGGGCGAGGUCCGCGCUUCGGCAAGGAUGUUGGCGUAAUGGUUGCCAGCGGCCCGUCUUGAAACACGGACCAAGGAGUCUAACAUCUAUGCGGAGGUUGUUCGGGUGUCAAAACCCCUACGCGUAAAUGGAAAGUGAAACGGGAGGUGGGAGCUUUCGGCGCACCAUCGACCGAUCCUGAUGGUCCUCGGGAUGGGAUUUGAGUAAA